CAGUAGCCGCGGUAAUACGAAGGGUGCAAGCGUUACUCGGAAUUACUGGGCGUAAAGCGUGCGUAGGUGGUGGUUUAAGUCCGUUGUGAAAGCCCUGGGCUCAACCUGGGAAUUGCAGUGGAUACUGGGUCACUAGAGUGUGGUAGAGGAUAGUGGAAUUUCCGGUGUAGCAGUGAAAUGCGUAGAGAUCGGAAGGAACAUCUGUGGCGAAGGCGACUAUCUGGGCCAACACUGACACUGAGGCACGAAAGCGUGGGGAGCAAACAGGAUUAGAUACCCCCGUAGUCCCUGUCUCUUAACA
rnacentral:rRNA from 1 species